rnacentral:rRNA from 1 species
CCUACGGGAGGCUGCAGUGGGGAAUAUUGGACAAUGGGGGGAACCCUGAUCCAGCCAUGCCGCGUGUGUGAAGAAGGCCCUCGGGUUGUAAAGCACUUUCAGUGAGGAAGAACGCCUGGUGGUUAAUACCCAUCAGGAAAGACAUCACUCACAGAAGAAGCACCGGCUAACUCCGUGCCAGCAGCCGCGGUAAUACGGAGGGUGCGAGCGUUAAUCGGAAUUACUGGGCGUAAAGCGCGCGUAGGUGGCUUGAUAAGCCGGUUGUGAAAGCCCCGGGCUCAACCUGGGAACGGCAUCCGGAACUGUCAAGCUAGAGUGCAGGAGAGGAAGGUAGAAUUCCCGGUGUAGCGGUGAAAUGCGUAGAGAUCGGGAGGAAUACCAGUGGCGAAGGCGGCCUUCUGGACUGACACUGACACUGAGGUGCGAAAGCGUGGGUAGCAAACAGGAUUAGAUACCCUUGUAGUC